rnacentral:rRNA from 1 species
CCCUUUGUUUAUUAUACCUUUGUUGCUUUGGCGGGCCCGUCCUCGGACCACCGGCUUCGGCUGGUCAGUGCCCGCCAGAGGACCUAAAACUCUGUUUGUUCAUAUUGUCUGAGUACUAUAUAAUAGUUAAAACUUUCAACAACGGAUCUCUUGGUUCUGGCAUCGAUGAAGAACGCAGCGAAAUGCGAUAAGUAAUGUGAAUUGCAGAAUUCAGUGAAUCAUCGAAUCUUUGAACGCACAUUGCGCCCCCUGGUAUUCCGGGGGGCAUGCCUGUUCGAGCGUCAUUACAACCCUCAAGCUCUGCUUGGUAUUGGGCUCUGCCGGUCCCGGCAGGCCUUAAAAUCAGUGGCGGUGCCAUUCGGCUUCAAGCGUAGUAAUUCUUCUCGCUUUGGAGACCCGGGUGCGUGCUUGCCAGCAACCCCCAAUUUUUUCAGGUUGACCUCGGAUCAGGUAGGGAUACCCGCUGAACUUAAGCAUAU